rnacentral:rRNA from 1 species
UUGAAGUAAAAAAGUCGUAACAAGGUCUCCGUUGGUGAACCAGCGGAGGGAUCAUUACCGAGUUAUACAACUCCCAAACCCACUGUGAACCUUACCUCAGUUGCCUCGGCGGGAACGCCCCGGCCGCCUGCCCCCGCGCCGGCGCCGGACCCAGGCGCCCGCCGCAGGGACCCCAAACUCUCUUGCAUUACGCCCAGCGGGCGGAAUUUCUUCUCUGAGUUGCACAAGCAAAAACAAAUGAAUCAAAACUUUCAACAACGGAUCUCUUGGUUCUGGCAUCGAUGAAGAACGCAGCGAAAUGCGAUAAGUAAUGUGAAUUGCAGAAUUCAGUGAAUCAUCGAAUCUUUGAACGCACAUUGCGCCCGCCAGCAUUCUGGCGGGCAUGCCUGUUCGAGCGUCAUUUCAACCCUCGAGCCCCCCCGGGGGCCUCGGUGUUGGGGGACGGCACACCAGCCGCCCCCGAAAUGCAGUGGCGACCCCGCCGCAGCCUCCCCUGCGUAGUAGCACACACCUCGCACCGGAGCGCGGAGGCGGUCACGCCGUAAAACGCCCAACUUUCUUAGAGUUGACCUCGGAUCAGUAGAAUAACCAGGCG